GGGCCCUUUCCGGCAGCUACCUCGACCAAUCAGCGAGCAAAGCUCGCCCAACGCUCUGCCAAUUAGAUGCCGCAAACUAGGCCCGCCUCUUGUAGCGUGGCUGAGCACCUCCAUCACGCCUGCGCGGGCCCCCGUGGCCUGCCGGGACUUGGAGUUCCAUUCCGGCGUACAAAGGCCAGUCAGAGGCCAAAACCCGAGGAGGGAAAAGAACAAAAGGGUGAAGAAAGAAGCGCGUCCUCCUAGCCGGGGCGGAGUAUCUCCCGCUUUCUUCUCUUGGAGACCGCAGCCCGAUUAAGCCAGAGGGGUUGCCCUGCAUCUCCUCGCGACCUUAGAAGCUUAUCUUGAGUCGGGCCUCAGCUUCGACGUCGGGCCUAAUUCAAGCGCUGGCCCGUGUUGGGUUCUUCUGGGAUGAGCCCUCAUUUGACAGCCGGGCCCUGAGAGGAGAGCGGCAGCCGCCCACUCCCCAGGGGAGACUCGGCGGCCGCGCUGGAACUUUGAGCUCCGCCCACGCACUACGUCUCCCAGCAGCGCCUGCGGCACUCUCACCGGCCACUCGGACUACAACUCCCGGGAGGCCCCGCGCCGCCCGUGCGCUGGCUAAGUGCAGUCCGCGGCCGGCCAGGCGGCGGCCCGGCCCGUCGCUAUUAACCCUAUAGGGGCAUCCACCCUUGUCCUUCUAAAGAGGGCGCCCCUUGAGGGACGGGGUGAGUUGCGCCCAGCGGAGGGGAAGCGAACACCCUGAGGAAAAUCAGAGGCUCUUGGGCCUCCGAGCGGCCCCUGACCGGAUGAAGGUGGGAAGCCGAGAAGCCGAAAAACCGAGUUGGGGAAAGAACAGACUCACCUCCUGACCCGCGAAGGGUCCGCUAGAUCGCCGGCUCCAGGAUCCGAGAGGCCUCAAACAGAUUCCAAGUCCGCAGGCAGAGUUCUCUGAGACCAGACCCCGGGGUGUUUGGAAAGAUUCUGGAGCUCAGUGGCAGAUCCCGGGUAUCUCAGCCCCGCAGGUAGAUCUCAAGUCCGCGGGCUUGCAGGCGAAGCUCAAAGAUCGUAGGCGGAUCCCGAAGACUCGCAGACAGCUCGGGAAACCACAGACUCCCCGGCAGAGCUCGGAGGCCACAGCAGCUAGCCAAGACACACCAGCAGCAGCUAAGCUGCAUUCAACUGGAGCUCUUCCGAACGGAAGGACUUGCAGCCUUCCCUCUCCCCAGCCAGGAUGAGAAAAUUAGACAAUGGGAGCCGAGCACUGGGGAAAGCAGGCAUUCUGCGUGGGGAAGCGCUCUGAGCUCGCUGUAGCCUUGGAGAGGGAAGUGAUGGAAAAAGAAUAUAGCAGCUUAUUAGGGACUCCCACCCUCUUCAAGUUAUAAAUAUCCCCAGAACCUUGGCUACGUGCCCAGAAGCCUGUUGUCUCUAACUUUACAGGAGACUUCUCUGCCUGGGCUGGGAAAGGGGCUUUUCUUUUGUUUUGCAGAUACAUCCACCCACUGAGUGACUUGAAUCCCCCCCACCCACCCCCAACAUGACUCUAGGCUAUGCUUUUAUUAGUGAGUGUCCUGUUCCCAGUACCCAGUUAUUUAUGGUUAAAUUACUCAAGUGUCUAAAAAGAACUAGGACCCUACCCAGCCAUGAGGCCGACUCUCUCACCCCCACUCCUCAUCCCCCAGCUGUGAGGCUAGGAAUUCUUUAGAUAGCUCAGAAUCGAACCAUCCUACCCCAUCUGAAAUUUAUUUGGGUACCCCCCCCAAAAAAAAAGGAAGAAAAAAAAGGGAUUUUAGGGCAUCCUCAAGUCCUUGAGAGACAAUGUCCAUAGUGGGAAGAGCGUGGGGUACUGAGUCAGACAGACCUGAGUUGGAAUCCUGGCUGCCUGUCCUUUAGAUAGUCAUUCACUCUCUCCAGGCCCAUUUCCCUUUCUGUAAAACAAGGCAGUCAUACCUGAAGCAGUGGUGAACACUAAGUGAGGUGACAUAAAGCACUCCACGCAAAAUGAACACUCAGAUGAUAGCUGUUAUUAUUAUGAAUCUUGCUUUUGGUGGCAGGGGAGACUUCCAGAAAGGCCUGUGGAUAUUUUCACUGGCUCAGAAAAAUCAAGGAAGUUGGAGUGGCCCAAGAGUGUGAGAAUCUGCUGGUGACCUUCACCUCACAAUGUUUCUGCUGGAAAUCCAGAGGGAAUUGGAAGUUGGGCCAGUUUGGUGAAUUCAAGCAAAUUGGUAGAUUGAGCCCAGUAGAGCAGAGGUAUUUGAGGCUGCCAGAAUGCAGCAAGUCGAGGCCUCACGCUCAGAGAAACUUCUGGGACAAGGAAGGGGGGUGGGGGUCAGUUCAGACUUUGGCGGAGUAAUUGCAUGUUUCUAAUUGGGCCUAAGGUGAGUUGAGCGCCUGAGCCUCUCAGCCCAGCAGGGCUCCCUUUUCAUCCCUUCGCUGACAGAUUGCUUUGUAAACUUCCUUAGGCCUCUCUCCCCCCUUGCUCCAGUGCUUUAAUUCCUUCUUUGUCCUCUCACUGUUUCUUUUAUUCCUCAGGCCUGCCUGGGGGCAGGACGACUCUCUCUCUCUCUCUCUCUCUCUCUCUCUCUCUCUCAGAGCCCAGCUUGGCUACUGGCCUCUUUCUGUAAGUGCUUUUCUCUCUCUUCACCUGGAACCCUCAAGAGGGUGGAAGAGAAGAGAGGCUGAGAGCAAAGGGAAAGCCCAACUGCAUUUGGUACCCUUGGGGAAGAAGGAGAGGAAAGACAGUGGGUGAGGGGCUUCCUGGUGCAGCCUUCAGUGGGACUCUGAGGGUUGGGGGGUCACUGGAGAAGGAGGUGGCUUCCUGCCCCAUUGUUCAGGACUUCAUUGUUUCUCAGGAAUACUUAUUGUCUGUGAAUUUUCAAUAAUUAACUUGGAAAGCUGCAUGUGUUCCCAUCAUUCAGCAGACCCCUAGCAUCUACUGUGUACAGAGGUGGCCGCAGAGCCUCUCAUUCAUGGAAAGGGGCCAGAAGAACCACUGGGCCAGGGUCUCCAAGUUAGGCUUUGGACAUUAUCUCCAAAUGCGGUUAUACAUUAUGUCAGCUCCACUGACCAAUUUGAUCAAAGACCCUCCUUCUGUGUCCUUAAGCUUGUUUCUUAUUAACAGGCUGCUCUGCCUGUGGAGCACUAUAAAUUAUUAUAUUUUAACAAGUCCUAUAAUCAUCUUGUAAGCAGCACAAUUACGGUGUGAUUUUUUUAUUAGAAGCAUUAAUUUAUUAAAUAUGGAAAAACGUGCCUCAA